GACAGGUGAAGAGAUGCGAGGGGGGGGCGGUGAGUCCGUCGUCUUCCAGACUGAGCUAUGUGCGUACAGUUGCGCUCACAACGCUAGUGCUCUUCACUCAAGCGUAAAUUUGUACAUAUUCAAUAGCAAAACUAUGCUGCUUGUAAGGCUAUAUCAAUUUUUACUUGAACUGGAGCGCUGGCACUAGUGGUAGCUAUUUGUGUGGCCAGCGCUGUGCGCAUGUCUUGCACCUUUCUGUCUGAGAGGCUGGCCUCCCUUGCAAUAACACUCAAUGGGUGUGUGAGUGCAGUGCAGUGUGUCUGUCUGUCUGUCUGUCUGUCUGGUGGCCCGACCAAAUGACUCAAUGAAACUUUUUUUCGCCUCUUUUUUUUUUUUUGUUGUUUUCACCCUGCACACAGUCAACUAUUUUAUUGAGCAAUUGCCAUGAGACAGAGGACUAUAAAUAAACCAUAAUGUGCUACCGAGAACUCACAGUUGAGCCUGCUUACGUUGGUUAACUUGGCCCAAAGACACCUAACUAUUUAUAGCACACCUCACUUACAAUGAGAACUACCGUCUGCUGCAUUUUCCGACUUUUGCAGACAGGUGGGCGUGGUUGCGCCCCCACGACAGGUGCAACAAUGUCGGCAAUGCAGUGCGAUUCCCAAUUAACGGACCAAUUAGCGCCAUGGAAUUCGGCGAUUUAGCGUUAUUACAUUAACAUAAAUUCGUGUCGGCAUUUAUACCACGGAUCAUACAUACGUACAUAUGUAUAUACAUACCUGGAUUUUCUUAUGGAGCGAGAGAUGUUUUAAUGCUUACAGUGGAGGUCAGAAUACUAGCAACUUCAUAAGCUGCAUGUAGCAACCUCGUUUAAAUAUAAAGAUUUUUACUAAGAAUUUAACUCUUAUUUUAAUAGUUUAAUGUGAAGCCCAUGGUGAUCCGUUUCCUUUUGGUGCUAUAAUUUUGAGCGUUGCUGUUUUUGAAACCGCUGCUCAGAUUUCGAGAUUUCUUCAAACGUUUUUUCGCCUUUUUAGCCAAACUAACCGUCCGUGGCCUUGGGUUUCGGGCGCUUAACUCCCCCGACUGCGAACGCACGAUCCAAACAUACGAACAUCCAAUACCCCUUUUAGCAACCCCUCCCCCUCCUUCACUUUUUGCAACAUGUUUGUGCACGCAAACUAAUUAAGACGGGCAAUUAAUGGCUGUAUUUAAUUUUUGCCAUUUGCGUUGCGAUGCCGAAAUAGCCAAAAACGACCAAGUGAAAAUGUAUAUAUAUGUAUGUACAUACAUAGUUGCAACUUGAAGAUGGCCAAAAGCGGUUAACUGCAAUGCCAGCUGUUAUAAUGCGAAAAAUACAAAUACAUACAUACAUAUGUAUGUAUUUAGAUAUACAAAUAAAGCGAAAAAGGGGUGGGGUGGCAACCCUGGCGGUGCGUGCAUGAAAAAUAAUGGAAAUGGAAGAAAAACCAAAUGAAAUGCGAAUAAUGUACGAAAAUUUUCACAUUCAAUGACCUUGACAAUGGCUUUGGCCCAAGUCGCUCAACUUGUUUAUUUCAUUUACUUCGCUUUACGUGUGUGAGCGUAGAAAACGUGACGAGUUAUUUACGUACAUACGUACUUUUGGAGAAAGGUCGUUGAUCAUGGCUAAAUGUUGUUGUUGUUGUUGCUGUUGUUUUUUACGCUUAAUAGCGGUUUCAAAGUCAACAUCAACGCGCUGUUUUUGGCCAUUUCAGUAUUUCUAGUUUCGAUAACCCCUCCCCCCCGCCAUCCCUCCGUCGGAUUUCAACUCUUUUUCGAACUGUUUCCCUUCAAAAACAGCUUUAUUUUUUCUUGAAUUCAGUGGCGCAAGGUUAAUAGUGCCGAAAACCAAAGCCAUUGGCCCGGGGAAAUUUCUGCGAGUUUUUUCGUCGCCUUGCCAAAAAAAAAAAACAAACGAUCGAGCAACGAACUUGAGAAAAGCAAAUAGAGCCAAAAAAAAAUAGUUAGGAUUGCGUUUCAAAAAGCAAAUAGAAUAGAUAGAAGCAAUAGGAAAAUUAAUAUGCAUAAAUGACUUUUCCCAUGAAUGGAAUCAACUCUGAAUCAACCACUUUGCAGAUGCAUCUAUUUCUCAUUUCCAGUGUCACAUCAUUUUUCCAGAUCUCGCUGCUUGGCUAUGUGGCCCACAAACCAAGACGCGUUUUAUGGCCAUUAAAGCUGGCUGAUGGACGACAAACACCACCAAAUACAUAAUGAAUAUGUGCAUUCGAGAAAGAGGCGAUAAAAGAAGCGUCUUCGGGCGAAGAAAGAGACUGAGAAGGAGAACGAGGACGAGAACGAGAAGGAGAACAAGAAGGAGAACGAGAACGAGUUGAUCUAGUAGCUCUCCACAAUCGAAUGCCAACUGACCAACUGGCCAUAUUCGGAGCAAUUUGAAGCCAAUUUCCAUCGCUUGGCGAUCGCUCCAUUCUUGGCUAUAUGUUUUUCACCGUUAGCCGGGGUCAUUUCCAAAGACUCGUCUGCAAGAUAAGAUUGUGUCACUCGCUGUCUCUCUUCUUUUGCCGCAGACAGCCAAGAAAGAGAAGCAGAAGAAGACUGAGGAAUUUCGCGAUGACGUCGGCGAGUAUUUUGAACAAUAAGCAUAAUUUGUAUUCAUUCGAAUUCCAGUUAGGGGAAUUUUCUACAAAAACAUCUUAUCUAUAGAUAAUUUUGACGGAAAAUUUUGUGAGCGUGAUAAAGAAGUGGAAUUAAAUCUUUAAAAUAUGAUAAGGAACUGGAAUUCAAUUGCAUACAUAUUUGGCAUGGAUUCCCCGAGAAUAAAUGCAUUGUAAUAAAUGAAAUCGAUUGUAAAAUAAA